rnacentral:rRNA from 1 species
AUUGAACGCUGGCGGCAGGCCUAACACAUGCAAGUCGAGCGAGCGGCGGACGGGUGAGUACUGUAUGGGGACUGCCCGAUAGAGGGGGAUAAAUACUGGAAAAGGUAGCUAAUACCGCAUACUAUCGGAUAACCCAUAUGGGAUUAGCUAGUAGGUGAGGUAAUGGCUCACCUAGGCGAAGAAACCUAGCUGGUCUGAGAGGAUGAUCCGCCAACCUGUGACUUAGACACUGCCCAGACUCCUACGGAGGCAGCAGUGGGUAAUUUUGCACAAGGGGCGCAAGCCUGAUGCAGCCAUGCCGCGUGUAUGAAGAAGGCCCGAGGGUUGUAAAGUACUUUCAGUCGUGAGGCGUUACCGACAGAAGAAGCACCGGCUAACUCCGUGCCAGCAGCCGCGGUAAUAC